GACUUGCAGACAUAAAAAACAGACUGGCAGUUGCGAAGGGAGAAGAGAGGUGAGGGAGGAUUGGGAGUUUGAGAUUAGCAUAUGCAAACUAUUAUAUACAGAAUGGAUAAACAAGGAUCUGCAGUAUAGCACAGGAGGCUAUAUUAAACAGCCUAUGA